rnacentral:rRNA from 1 species
CCUACGGGAGGCAGCAGUGGGGGAUAUUGCACAAUGGGGGGACCCCUGAUGCAGCGACGCCGCGUGGGUGAAGAAGCGCCUCGGCGCGUAAAGCCCUGUCAGCAGGGGAGAAAAUGACGGUACCUGAAGAAGAAGCACCGGCUAAAUACGUGCCAGCAGCCGCGAUAAUACGUAUGGUGCAAGCGUUCUCCGGAUUUACUGGGGGUAAAGGGAGCGCCGGCGGCAAGGCAAGCCUGAUGUGAAAGCCCGCGGGCCAAACGCGGGACUGCCGUGGGAACUCACGGGCUUGAGUGCCGGAGAGGUAGGCGGAAUGCCUAGUGUAGCGGUGAAAUGCGUAGAUAUUAGGAGGAACACCAGUGGCGAAGGCGGCCUACUGGACGGUGACUGACGCUGAGGCUCGAAAGCGUGGGGAGCAAACAGGAUUAGAUACCCCAGUAGUC